AGUGAACGCUGGCGGUAGGCCUAACACAUGCAAGUCGAACGGCAGCACAGGAGAGCUUGCUCUCUGGGUGGCGAGUGGCGGACGGGUGAGGAAUACAUCGGAAUCUACUCUGUCGUGGGGGAUAACGUAGGGAAACUUACGCUAAUACCGCAUACGACCUACGGGUGAAAGCCGGGGACCUUCGGGCCUUGCGCGAUUGAAUGAGCCGAUGUCGGAUUGGCUAGUUGGGGGGGUAAAGGCCCACCAAGGCGACGAUCCGUAGCUGGUCUGAGAGGAUGAUCAGCCACACUGGAACUGAGACACGGUCCAGACUCCUACGGGAGGCAGCAGUGGGGAAUAUUGGACAAUGGGCGCAAGCCUGAUCCAGCCAUACCGCGUGGGUGAAGAAGGCCUUCGGGUUGUAAAGCCCUUUUGUUGGGAAAGAAAUCCAGCUGGCUAAUACCCGGUUGGGAUGACGGUACCCAAAGAAUAAGCACCGGCUAACUUCGUGCCAGCCGCCGCAGUAA
rnacentral:rRNA from 1 species